CCUACGGGUGGCAGCAGUGAGGAAUAUUGGUCAAUGGACGAGAGUCUGAACCAGCCAAGUAGCGUGAAGGAUGACUUCCCUAUGGGUUGUAAACUUCUUUUAUAUGGUAAUAAAAUGUUACACGUGUGGGAUUUUGUAUGUACCAUAUGAAUAAGUAUCGGCUAACUCCGUGCCAUCAUCCUCGGUAAUACGGAGGAUCCGAGCGUUAUCCGGAUUUAUUGUGUUUAAAGGGAGCGUAGGUGGCUUGUUAAGUCAGUUGUGAAAGUUUGCGGCUCAAACGGAAAAUUGCAGUUGAAACUGGCAGUCUUGAUUACAGUAGAGGUGGGCGGAAUUCGUGGUGUAGCGGUGAAAUGCUUAGAGAGCACGAAGAACUCCGAGUGCGAAGGCAGCUCACUGGACUGCAACUGACACUGAGGCUCGAAAGUGUGGGUAUCAAACAGGAUUAGAUACCCUGGUAGUC
rnacentral:rRNA from 1 species